ACUGGAAGGUCCUCAGGCCGAAAGGGGCUCUGCCCGCCCGAGGAUGGGCCGGCGGCCGAUUAGGUAGUUGGUGGGGUAACGGCCCACCAAGCCGAAGAUCGGUACGGGCCAUGAGAGUGGGAGCCCGGAGAUGGACACUGAGACACGGGUCCAGGCCCUACGGGGCGCAGCAGGCGCGAAACCUCCGCAAUGCGGGCAACCGCGACGGGGGGACCCCCAGUGCCGUGGCAACGCCACGGCUUUUCCGGAGUGUAAAAAGCUCCGGGAAUAAGGGCUGGGCAAGGCCGGUGGCAGCCGCCGCGGUAAUACCGGCGGCCCGAGUGGUGGCCGCUAUUAUUGGGCCUAAAGCGUCCGUAGCCGGGCCCGUAAGUCCCUGGCGAAAUCCCACGGCUCAACCGUGGGGCUUGCUGGGGAUACUGCGGGCCUUGGGACCGGGAGAGGCCGGGGGUACCCCUGGGGUAGGGGUGAAAUCCUAUAAUCCCAGGGGGACCGCCAGUGGCGAAGGCGCCCGGCUGGAACGGGUCCGACGGUGAGGGACGAAGGCCAGGGGAGCGAACCGGAUUAGAUACCCGGGUAGUCCUGGCUGUAAAGGAUGCGGGCUAGGUGUCGGGCGAGCUUCGAGCUCGCCCGGUGCCGAAGG
rnacentral:rRNA from 1 species